GGGCAUAGAACCUUCACAGGGCCUCUCCUC
rnacentral:piRNA from 1 species